CGUUGAAACAGCGGUUCUCGUAAGAUUAUCGUAGUUAAGCAUCCCCGAGCUUGAUCAGUAGCUAGAUGGGUGACUGCUUGAGAAUACCAGUUGCUGUAAG